rnacentral:rRNA from 1 species
UUUGGACCUGAUAUCAAACAAGA